rnacentral:rRNA from 1 species
GUCGAGGGGUAUAGGUUUUCGGACCUAGAGACCGGCGCACGGGUGCGUAACGCGUAUGCAAUCUACCUUUUACAGAGGGAUAGCCCAGAGAAAUUUGGAUUAAUACCUCAUAGUAUUAUUGAAUGGCAUCAUUUAAUAAUUAAAGUUCCAACGGUAAAAGAUGAGCAUGCGUCCCAUUAGCUAGAUGGUAAGGUAACGGCUUACCAUGGCAACGAUGGGUAGGGGUCCUGAGAGGGAGAUCCCCCACACUGGUACUGAGACACGGACCAGACUCCUACGGGAGGCAGCAGUGAGGAAUAUUGGUCAAUGGGCGCAAGCCUGAACCAGCCAUGCCGCGUGCAGGAUGACGGUCCUAUGGAUUGUAAACUGCUUUUGUACAGGAAGAAACAGUUCUACGUGUAGAACCUUGACGGUACUGUAAGAAUAAGGAUCGGCUAACUCCGUGCCAGCAGCCGCGGUAAUACGGAGGAUCCAAGCGUUAUCCGGAAUCAUUGGGUUUAAAGGGUCCGUAGGCGGUUUUGUAAGUCAGUGGUGAAAGCCCAUCGCUCAACGGUGGAACGGCCAUUGAUACUGCAAGACUUGAAUUACUAGGAAGUAACUAGAAUAUGUAGUGUACCGGUGAAAUGCUUAGAGAUUACAUGGAAUACCAAUUGCGAAGGCAGGUUACUACUAGUGGAUUGACGCUGAUGGACGAAAGCGUGGGGAGCGAACAGGAUUAGAUACCCUGGUA